GCUGGUGUAGCACAACUGGUAGUGCAAGUGCCUUGUAAGCACUAGGUUGCGGGUUCGAUUCCUGUCACCAGCUCCA
rnacentral:tRNA from 1 species